rnacentral:rRNA from 1 species
CCUACGGGGGGCAGCAGUGGGGAAUUUUCCGCAAUGGGCGAAAGCCUGACGGAGCAAUACCGCGUGAGGGAUGAAGGCCUAUGGGUUGUAAACCUCUUUUUUCAGGGAGGAAUAAAAUGACGUGUACCUGAAGAAUAAGCAUCGGCUAACUCCGUGCCAGCAGCCGCGGUAAGACGGGGGAUGCAAGUGUUAUCCGGAAUCACUGGGCGUAAAGCGUCUGUAGGUGGUUAAAUAAGUCAACUGUUAAAUCUUGAGGCUCAACCUCAAAAUCGCAGUCGAAACUGUUUGACUAGAGUAUAGUAGGGGUAAAGGGAAUUUCCAGUGGAGCGGUGAAAUGCGUAGAGAUUGGAAAGAACACCGAUGGCGAAGGCACUUUACUGGGCUAUUACUAACACUGAGAGACGAAAGCUAGGGUAGCAAAUGGGAUUAGAUACCCGGGUAGUC